CUUGAGAAGUUGAGGAAAUGAACGUGUCUAGUGAAUAAAUAGGGCUGCUCAGCAGUGCUUAUGUUUUUAAUCAAUUCCAUCUGUUCGUUUUUGGUCAGUCUUGUUUUGUUGUGAAUGUCAGAUGUUACCAGGUUGAAUCCAUGUUUCUCUGAUAAAAUUCUCAAAAGCAAAACCACAGUUCUACUCCCACACUUUCCAACUCUGUUGUAGACCACCUGGCUGGGGAAAGGAAGUACCUUUUGAGGGGGUGGUCCGUGGUCAUCCAAAUAAGUGGAAUUUCCCAGAUAGUGCCGCAGGUCCAGCAGAAAGUGCGGGGGUCCCCCGUUGAGCUGGUAAAAGAGGGAGCCCACGCAGAAGAGCAGCAGGGCGGCCAUGCAGAAGCCGUAGUCGCGCAGAGAGAGGAAGGGCAGCAGCGAGAGGGGCCGCCGCCGCUUCCAGCCCCCGCCCUGGCUCGGGCCCCCUGCCGCCGCCACCGCCGCGGGGGCCGGAGCGCCGGGCAGUCCCCGCCGCCGCCGUGCUGCUGCUUCUUCUUCAUGCUACCCCCGCCGCCGGCUCACGCAGCCCGCCGGGCUGGGCGCAUCCUCCAUCCGCCUGCUCGGCUCCGGCUGCCCGCGGCGGGGAAAGUUCGCGGUGACUCAGGGGGCCCGUCCCGUCCCCAUCGCCGGCUUCCCCCGGCCCCGUGCAGGCGAGAGUCCCGGCGCUGCGGCGGCGGCUGCUGCGAAGCGCCGCUAAGGGGAGGGGAAGAAGGUGGUCACCAUCCCGCUCCUUGGGGCUCCUCUCCUCCUCCUCCGCCGCCGCUCUCUCGCUCCCUCUCUCCGCUCGGCCUCUCGCUCCGGUGUCAAGUUACAGCCCCCGCUCCGCCGCCGACGGCCUGCGGCUCGCGGCCGAGUCGUGCGCACCGCGCGGCCCCCGCUCCUCACCCC
rnacentral:lncRNA from 1 species